AGGAAUGUCACUGUCUGUGCUGAAGGUGGACGACUACAUUUUGGAUGCACUUGACUCUGCAACCCAGGCGCCAGCGUGGCCUGCUGGAGUUGCUGGUAUAGAACAGAAACCGACUGUCAAUUUGUCAACCUCAUUGUGUCAUAAAAUGCGGUCAUGGGCGAUCCGUAGUUAUGACUGGCUUCUCCCGAGUACAAAAUUAUCCUGAUAGAUGAAAAAGCUUACGCUUUCAGAACUUUUUCGAGGGUUUAAAGUGAUAGUUUUCGCAUAGAUUUAUACAAGUUACCAUUAACUGGAGUUUCGCCCAUGAGUUGAUCUAAGAUUCUCAUGUUAAGGAAAGCGAAUGUAUUAUAUGAUCCUUUUCAGGUUUCCAUUAAAGGCUUAAGAUACCACAAGCUACAAGUUUGACUUAUCCUUCCUCUUUUUGAUGGUAUCUUCAGGACCCCGUCCGUCGACAACUUUGCCCGUUGCCCUUCCACCUGCACCGGCAAACCUCAUUCCGGUACUUAGCUCACAGAACCUUUCGUUAUCUGUAGGCACAUGUAGGAAAGCUGAGGUUCCCUACCCAAGUUUGGGUUUUGAGAGACUUGUGUACAAACUUUCUUACAUUAAAAGAAAAAUAGAAAAAAAAAAAGAAAAAA
rnacentral:lncRNA from 1 species